AAAAGCCUACGGGACGCAGCAGUGGGGAAUAUUGCACAAUGGGGGAAACCCUGAUGCAGCGACGCCGCGUGAGCGAAGAAGUAUUUCGGUAUGUAAAGCUCUAUCAGCAGGGAAGAAAAAUGACGGUACCUGAGUAAGAAGCACCGGCUAAAUACGUGCCAGCAGCCGCGGUAAUACGUAUGGUGCACGCGUUAUCCGGAUUUACUGGGUGUAAAGGGAGCGCAGGCGGUGCUGCAACUCUGAU
rnacentral:rRNA from 1 species